rnacentral:rRNA from 1 species
CUGCUAUCGGGGUUCGAUUAAGCCAUGCGAGUCGAGAGGUGCAAGACCUCGGCGCACUGCUCAGUAACACGUGGACAACCUACCCUGAGGAGGGGGAUAGCCCCGGAAAACUGGGGAUAAUACCCCAUAGAUUAGGGACGCUGGAAUGCCCCCUAGUUCAAAGGUCCGCCGCCUCAGGAUGGGUCUGCGGCCGAUUAGGUUGUUGUUGGGGUAACGGCCCAACAAGCCUUUGAUCGGUACGGGUUGUGGGAGCAAGAGCCCGGAGAUGGAUUCUGAGACACGAAUCCAGGCCCUACGGGGCGCAGCAGGCGCGAAAACUUUACAAUGCGAGAAAUCGUGAUAAGGGAACCCCGAGUGCCCGUAAAUUCGGGCUGUCCAUCAGUGCAAAAAACUGGUGAAGAAAGAGCCGGGCAAGACCGGUGCCAGCCGCCGCGGUAAUACCGGCGGCUCGAGUGGUGGCCACUAUUACUGGGCUUAAAGCGUCCGUAGCUUGGUUGUUAAG